rnacentral:lncRNA from 1 species
UCCACUUUUGUGCGCCACACUCGCUCUAGUAUGUCACUAUAACUCUCACCAUGUAAACAUUGUAUAACUUUUUUUACUAGAGUGAUUUUGACUUGAUUCAGUCUUUUCACAAUACUUUGAAUCUUGUCAUAUUUUUGUUAUGUUUCAUUCAAUGUUUGCUAAACAUAUAAUUGAAAUACUAAUAAUAAACUUUUAAAAGAAUAUAGUAUGACAAAGUUUCCUCGCCCUUCAUACCUUUAGAAUAA